UCUCUUUUGGACAUGCACGGAAAGUGAAGAAGCAGCCACAUGCUUGCCACCGUGAGUUAGAUUGACUCGACAUGAAGGAAAGAGAAGGACUCUGGUUGUUGAUUGCAAUUUUGUUAACUGGCCAAGUGACUGUUGCUGGCGGGCCUGUUUCUUCCCUGGCAGUUCUGAAGGGCCCGGAACUAGCUUACCUCAACAAAAGAGUUAAGUUUUCCUGUGAGGUCCUAGGUUCACUUCCAUCAGCCACCUACCAGUUUAUGAAGGUGAAAGAUAUCCCAAUUACCACAAAGAAACAUUUAUCUGCAGGUCAGCCACCCAUUUUAUACUUAAAGGUCACUAAUACCUCAGCCGGAGCAUACUACUGCAAAGUGACAGUGCUGGGAAAAUCAAGUACCAGCAACAUUCUAAACCUGAAAGUAGUGAUUCCAGUCUCAGGUGCCAGCCUCCUGUCUGUGCCCAGUCCUCCUACAGUGUUUGAAGGAUCCUCACUGACUCUUUACUGUGAAGUUCAGAAGGGCUCUCACCUCUCCUACACAUGGUAUCACAACAGACUGGAAGUGAAAGCUUCCUCACACAUGCAUAACCUUUCUGGCAACUUACUUAAAGUGGACAAGCUGACAAAGUGGCAUGCUGGAAGUUACUCCUGCUCUGCAUGGAAUGAUAUAGGAGUUAGCCCACGCUUCUCCAGUAGCAAUGAAAUACAUGUCACAGUCAAAGUCAACAUUUCUGCACCAAAGCUGUCAUUCACACUCUACAGAGAGAAUGCCAGUUACUAUGCCAACUUGACUUGUGAGUCAGCUCAGGGCAGUGUUCCAGUUACAUUCCUGUUAUUCCUGGAGGGGCAGGAGAUUGAUCGGCAGGUCGCCAACUCCCUGACUGUAUGGUUCACUCUGCCAAUGAUGGUAGGAAUGGACAUGGUCUCAGCACAGUGCAGAGCAGAGACAAGUCACCAACAACUGACCAGCAACCUUCUUAAUCUAGAAAUGGCUCCUGUAGGGGGUCCUGUGUAUCUGCACACUGAAUACUUAUACAAUACUAACUGGCAAGUAGUAGCUAUGCGACUGCAAUGUGACAUCAACAGAGGUACCUUUCCCUCCAUCUCUUGGCUCCAUAACAACUCAUUCCUGCAUCAGAAGGACUGCUCUAAAAUCUCCAAUGACAAGUGCCAUGUCCUCUUCCUGACUGAUAUCACACCAGUGAAUUUUGGGUAUUACCAGUGCCUUGUGAAGGACAGUUUCAACAUCAAUGCAUCUUGGGUGCAGAGUAACAUUGUCCUUGUGGAGUCAAUAGAUUUACCUACAAUUACAACUGAGGUCAUAGCUGUUGUGUUCUGCUGCACCUUGCUGAUUGUCAUGAUGGGAAGCCUGUUCUGCAUAUUUUGGAUGCUUAACUAUCCAGUCUUGCAAACAGAAGGUGUUACCAUACCUGAACAGCACAGCACAGCCACAUCUAUUGAAGCCUUACAAUGUCACCUUCAUCAAAAUGGGAGCUGUGUUGACCUGGACAAGUCCAACCGCCCACAUAACUAACAUCACAUAUACAGCACAGUACAGUUGGGGAAAGAGAUCUUUUAAAAGCAUAGAUACAUGUAUUGAAGUGAAAGAACUUUGCUGUGGCUUAAAGCUACCUUCAACCUAUGGGAUAUAUACUUUUAGAGUAAGGGCCCACCUGCAAGGAACCACAUCUGAAUGGGUUAAAAGUACAGAGACCAAAGUUACUAAAUUUACAGAUCCUCCAGUUGUGUCUAUGGUUUUGAGAUAUGGAGUCAUGGAGCUGAAUAUUACAGAGCCCGAGUAUGACCUCAGUUGUUUCUUAGUAAACAAUGUCACCUACAACAUCACCUACUGGAGACAGCACCUGGAGAAUGAGCAGACAUGGCAGAGAACAGUUCAGCAAAGAAAAGUACACAGGUUGCCUGUGUCUGGGCUGCCAUCAGAAGGACUGUGUGUAAAAGUACACACUGUGUAUGCAGCCUUCAAUAAUGCUGGAGUACAGUUCGAAACAGCAGGUCCUCCCAGUAAACCAGUGUGUGCUCUAAAUUCUCCACAUGGCGAACCUAAGUAUAGUAAGAUUUCCUCUUUUACUCCUAGACAAUUUCAUUGAUUGUCUUCUUACUCUUUGUCAAAUUCAUUGUCUUGCAACUGCUUUUGUACUGAUUAUAUUUUUCUGUCGAUGUGGAGUUCAUUCAUACACAGCCCUGGUAGGGUGCUUAACAUCUCUAGCUGUACUUUCUGUGCUGAUACUGGGCUGGUGUGUCUACAAAGGCCAAAACUUCCUUUACCCAAAUGCAGCACUACCACAACAACUCAUACAGUGUCCCCCAGAGAGAUGCUUUGACAUGCCCCAAAUGUUGCUCCAUGCAGAAGAGCCAUACGAGCACAUCAGUGUAUGGGAGCCACAGUGUGAGACGCACAACAGUGAGGAAAUGAGUGCUGUGAGAGUCUCUGAUGGAGUCAGUAAUAUCUGUGUGUAUGAAUCUCUGAGCAUUGUCUGUAUGAGUGAGGAAACUGUGUUUCACAGGAUGGCAGAACCUACAAACAAUGGUAUGCUUGAGCAACGCUAUUACAAUGUGCUCUCCUAAAGCAAUAUCUAAGACAAAUUUCAGAACCCCCUUAUCCCUUUCUCCAUGAAUUUGUCUAAAAAAGUAAGCAUGCCUACAUAAUCGUUUUGUGUUAUUUAGCAAAAGCUAAUUAAAUUCAAUGAAAUAAAGAAGCUGUUAUAAACAAUUAUGUUUAUGUUGAUUGACAUACACUUUUGUCCAAAGUGAUUCUUGGCAAACUAAUUAUUGGAGCCCCUGAAUAUAUUUUGUAAAGCCUCUCUUUACCAAAAGGCAGUGAUCACACUGGAAAUAAUGAAGCUGCUGUGGGAAAGUGUAAUGAAAUGCUCAGACCAUAAUCAAGC